rnacentral:lncRNA from 1 species
CCUGCCGGGAGCUGUAGUUCCUCGGCCCGCGCCCGCCGGGAGGUGGCCGCGGCGGGAGGUCGGGGUUGUCUCUGCCCCGCGAAGGGGCGCCGGGAGCGCCGGGUACAGUCGGGCUGGCUCCGCACCCUCGAGUUCCGGGCGUCUUCGUGAGCGCGGGGGCACGGGGCAGGGGCGCCGCGGGAGUCGCGAGCGUGUCUAUCAGUUACACGCGGUACUUGAUCGCGCUGUUGCCGACGGUACUGUCUUUUCCUCUACUGCCGUGCACUCUUGAGGGAGGCGGUGGCGACAAUGGGCCAGAGGUGAUAGUUGGAACGGGGGACUUGUAAGGCGUCCAGAGCAGAGAGCUGCUUCCACCCUGAGAUGUCACAGCCCUCCCGCAUGCUCCUCCCUGCUGCCUGCCCCCGGGGUGGCCGCCGGCACCGCAGCUCGGCGCCCAAACCGGCACGUCCCAAGCCCGACGUUCCGGUGACUGCAGGGGUUUUCCCGGUGCUCGGUGUUUCCUCCCCGUCGGCCUUUAAACGCGAAUGUGACCCUACCACCAAAGUGGAGUGCAGUCCAGAAUCACCAAACCUGGGCUUCCAGGUGUCUGGAAACACAAUGUUAACAUUUGUUUUGCUCCAAAACAAAGUAUGACCGUGUCGGACGUUUUAGUCCAGCCCCAAAUUUUGCCUCUGAGCAAGAUUCCCAGGACCUCAUUGGAGCAGUUUACAGCCAGUCUUAUCUCACUAUUAACUUCCAUUUUCUGCUGUAGUACUUAAAGUGACAGAAGUUACUCUUCCUAGAAGUAACUUUUCCAGACGAUUCAAACUGCUGUUAUACAGAGAUUUAAGUAUUUGUGUGCAUGUGUGAAAACAGAGAUAUGUAAUGUAUAUAUUUCAUUUUAUUUCCACUGUUCUGCUUCUCUUUUUAAAAAUAAAGCGGUCUCCUCCACUUUGGGUAAAUCUUUCAGCACAUUUGAUCAAA